rnacentral:rRNA from 1 species
AGAGUUUGAUCAUGGCUCAGAUUGAACGCUGGCGGCAGGCCUAACACAUGCAAGUCGAGCGGAAACGACACUAACAAUCCUUCGGGUGCGUUAAUGGGCGUCGAGCGGCGGACGGGUGAGUAAUGCCUAGGAAAUUGCCUUGAUGUGGGGGAUAACCAUUGGAAACGAUGGCUAAUACCGCAUAAUGCCUACGGGCCAAAGAGGGGGAUCUUCGGACCUCUCGCGUCAAGAUAUGCCUAGGUGGGAUUAGCUAGUUGGUGAGGUAAUGGCUCACCAAGGCGACGAUCCCUAGCUGGUCUGAGAGGAUGAUCAGCCACACUGGAACUGAGACACGGUCCAGACUCCUACGGGAGGCAGCAGUGGGGAAUAUUGCACAAUGGGCGAAAGCCUGAUGCAGCCAUGCCGCGUGUAUGAAGAAGGCCUUCGGGUUGUAAAGUACUUUCAGUUGUGAGGAANGGGGUANCGUUAAUAGCG